CAUCGAUUGCCUCAGUUAGUACAUCUCAAUUAUCAGUUGAAAUCACAUUUGUUUAAGUAAGUUAGCUAUGUUUUUUAUGGCAGUAAAUGAGGCUGAAUGAACUGUUUCCCUGCCAGACAAGGCUCCGCUGAUAGCCAGGUGUAGCAGCGGUCAGGAUUCACUCCAUGGUGCUGAAAAAAAAGGUCUGCUGUUGGGACAGCUUUAUGUAGGCCCUACCAAAUUGCGGGCAUCAUUUGUCACCGUUAUAGUGCAAUUAUUGUACUGUUUAGUAUUAUGUUGUAUUGGUAUUGCUGACAUGCAUAAACAUUUUUGGGGUAGUUUGCCCCACCAAGAUUUAGAUGCUAAAAACCAACCAUCAUGAUAACCAGUUUGACCAGUGUUCCAUUUUGCAUAUGUAUGAUGGGAUAAAUAAGCACAACAUCAAACUUUUUCAGUAUUUGGUGAGUGGGCUGACUUAAACCAUUGAUGAUUGUGUCUGAGCAUGAAAUGUAUGCUAAUUUCUCAAUCUGUAUUCUAUUUUCUCAAUCUGGACACAAGUGACAUCUUGCCUGAUAAAUACCUAGAUGGUCUUUUUCGGGAGCAGUGCUUGCAAGAGAACGUGUACAUCAACAUUCAACAUUAAUUUGUUAUUUGAAGACACUCAUUAUCAACAGUUGAAUGCAGAUGAUAACUCUACCAUCGGAAACGUUUUCAUGGAGACACUACGUCGUUCUACAAAACGCUACUUGAGCAAAAUGAAGCAACUUCUAUAGAAAAAUGACAACAGUACCUGGGAGGUUGUUCGAAAUGAAAUCGUG
ensembl:lncRNA